rnacentral:RNase_P_RNA from 1 species
GAAGCAAGCCAGACAGCCGCUGGCCGGGGGCAUUCAUGCCGCCGGCGGGAGGAAGGUCCGGACUCCACAGAGCAGGGUGACGGUUAACGGCCGUCCGCUGAAAGCCUGGCCGGCGCAAGCCGGGAGGGUAUAAGGCGAGGAACAGGGCCACAGAGACGAGCGUAUUCAGUUACGGUGAAACGCGGUAACCUCCACCCGGAGCAAUUCCAAAUAGGCACGCGUUGAUGUUGCUCGCGGAGCGUGCGGGUAGGAAGCUUGAGCCAUGGAGUAAUUCAUGGCCUAGAGGAAUGGCUGUCAUAGCCGCCAGGGAAACUUGUCGGCCGUAACAGAAUCCGGCCUAUCGGCUUGCUUUAUUU